AAGGGCUGAAGCUCUGAAUACUAGACUGAGUGAUAGACACUGACAAUAGUCAAACAUGUUUAACAAAGAUUACACAUUAGGGCUACUGCUAAUGGUUAUAGGACUGUCAGGUGUUCAGGGUCAGAGGCUGAUUCAGUCUGGACCAGUAGUUAAAAAGCCAGAAGAACCACACAAACUGACCUGUACAGCCUCGGAUUUAGACAUGAAUAGCUACUGGAUGGCUUGGAUCAGACAGGCUCCUGGGAAAGGACUGGAGUGGGUUGCAACUAUUACCCAUAACAGCAGAAGCACUUUCUACCCCCAGUCUGUUCAAGGUCGGUUCAUCAUCUCCAGAGACAACAGCAUAAAACAGGUGUAUCUCCAGAUGAACAGCCUGAAGACUGAAGACUCUGCUGUUUAUUAUUGUGCCAGAGACACAGUGACACAGGAGGCUGCAGGGCGGUACAUAAACUGAUCAAGCACUUCUCUCACUGGAAUAGUCUUAAUAGUAUGUAAGACGGACAAUAAACUGAGGAUCCAGCAUAAGUGUAUUCACAGCAUACCAUUCCCCAUCAAGCUCAAUGAAGCUUAAACCACUCUGGCCAUGUUAGUCAGUAAAUAUCAUCUUGAUGACAGCUUAUUUACAUUCACUUGUAUAUCAGUCUAAUCCAAUUAGGAGUUUGAAUUACUGGUAGGAAUUAAUGUCCUCAUUGAGCAUAAUUAAAUAUAAACAAGGAAUUUUGAUAGCAUAUUUUUACUCUUAUAUGAAAAGAGUAAUAGGCCAUGUACUGUAUAUACUGUAUCUUUGGUGGACACCGAUAGUUAGAUUAUCUCCAUCUGUGCAUCAAUGAUAAUGAUUAGAAUAACAUACUGUACACCACGAGCAGAACAGAACCAUUUAUAAUGCUGCACAAUGCAUUUCAUAACAGAUAAUUGUAUUAUUACAAUAAAAAAUAUGUCCU